rnacentral:rRNA from 1 species
UACAGAGAGAAGCAAUGCGGCGACGCAAAGCGGAACUUGAAAGCCUGUCUCAGUUUGGAUUGGAGUCUGCAACUCGACUCCAUGAAGCUGGAUUCGCUAGUAAUCGCGCAUCAGCCAUGGCGCGGUGAAUACGUUCCCGGGCCUUGUACACACCGCCCGUCAAGCCAUGGGAGCCGGGGGCGCCUGAAGUCCGGGACCGCGAGGACCGGCCUAGGGCGAAACUGGUAACUGGGGCUAAGUCGUAACAAGGUAGC